rnacentral:tRNA from 1 species
GCCCAGGUGGCGAAAUUGGUAGACGCACUGUGUUCAGGUCGCAGCGUCCGAAAGGGUGUGAAGGUUCGAAUCCUUUCCUGGGCA